UAGGGAAUCUUCCGCAAUGGACGCAAGUCUGACGGAGCAACGCCGCGUGUGUGAAGAAGGUCUUCGGAUCGUAAAGCACUGUUAGUAGAGAAGAACACCCUGUAGAGUAACUGUUACAGGAUUGACGGUAUCUAACCAGAAAGUCAAGGCUAACUACGUGCCGGCAGCCGCGGUAAUACGUAGGUCACAAGCGUUGUCCGGAUUUAUUGGGCGUAAAGGGAGCGCAGGUGGUUUGUUAAGUCUGAUGUGAAAGCCCCCGGCUCAACCGGGGAACUGCAUUGGAAACUGGCAAACUUGAGUGCAGAAGAGGAAAGUGGAAUUCCAUGUGUAGCGGUGAAAUGCGUAGAUAUAUGGAGGAACACCAGUGGCGAAGGCGACUUUCUGGUCUGUAACUGACACUGAGGCUCGAAAGCGUGGGGAGCGAACAGG
rnacentral:rRNA from 1 species